GGGAGGCAGCAGUGAGGAAUUUUGCGCAAUGGGCUAACGCCUGACGCAGCAACGCCGCGUGGAGGAUGAAGGUCCUUGGAUUGUAAACUCCUGUCAGCAGGGAAAAAGCAACUCAACCUCAUACGUUGAGAAGUUGAUGGUACCUGCAGAGGAAGCCCCGGCUAACUCUGUGCCAGCAGCCGCGGUAAUACAGAGGGGGCAAGCGUUAUUCGGAAUUAUUGGGCGUAAAGGGCGCGUAGGCGGCCUGACAAGUGGAUGGUGAAAUCCCUCGGCUUAACCGAGGAACUGCCAUCCAGACUGUUUGGCUUGAGACCGGGAGAGGUGAGUGGAAUUCCCAGUGUAGCGGUGAAAUGCGUAGAUAUUGGGAGGAACACCAGUGGCGAAGGCGGCUCACUGGACCGGUACUGACGCUGAGGCGCGAAAGCGUGGGGAGCAAACGGAAUUAGAUACCCGAGUA
rnacentral:rRNA from 1 species